rnacentral:rRNA from 1 species
CCUACGGGAGGCUGCAGUAGGGAAUAUUGCUCAAUGGGGGAAACCCUGAAGCAGCAACGCCGCGUGGAGGAUGAAGGUUUUCGGAUUGUAAACUCCUUUUGUUAGAGAAGAGAAUGACGGUAUCUAACGAAUAAGCACCGGCUAACUCCGUGCCAGCAGCCGCGGUAAUACGGAGGGUGCAAGCGUUACUCGGAAUCACUGGGCGUAAAGAGCGCGUAGGCGGGAUAGCAAGUCAGAUGUGAAAUCCUAUGGCUUAACCAUAGAACUGCAUUUGAAACUGUUAUUCUAGAGUAUGGGAGAGGUAGGUGGCAUUCUUGGUGUAGGGGUCACCUCCGUAGAGAUCAAGAGGAAUACUCAUUGCGACGGCGACCUGCUAGAACAUACCUGACGCUGCUGCGCGAAAGCGUGGGGAGCAACCAGGAUUAGAUACCCCAGUAGUC